UACGAAGGGGGGCUAGCGUUGCUCGGAAUCACUGGGCGUAAAGCGCACGUAGGCGGCUUGUUAAGUCAGGGGUGAAAUCCUGGAGCUCAACUCCAGAACUGCCUUUGAUACUGGCGAGCUUGAGUCCGGGAGAGGUGAGUGGAACUGCGAGUGUAGAGGUGAAAUUCGUAGAUAUUCGCAAGAACACCAGUGGCGAAGGCGGCUCACUGGCCCGGUACUGACGCUGAGGUGCGAAAGCGUGGGGGAGCAAACAGGG
rnacentral:rRNA from 1 species